rnacentral:rRNA from 1 species
UACGGGGGGGGCAAGCGUUGUUCGGAAUUACUGGGCGUAAAGGGCUCGUAGGCGGCCAACUAAGUCAGACGUGAAAUCCCUCGGCUUAACCGGGGAACUGCGUCUGAUACUGGAUGGCUAGAGGUUGGGAGAGGGAUGCGGAAUUCCAGGUGUAGCGGUGAAAUGCGUAGAUAUCGGGAGGAACACCGUUGGCGAAGGCGACUUUCUGGGCUGCUACUGACGCUGAAGCGCGAAAGUCAGGGGAGCGAACAGG